rnacentral:Y_RNA from 1 species
GGCUGGUCCGAUGCUAGUGAGUUAUCAGAACUUAUUAACAUUAGUGCCACUAAAGUUGGUAUUCAACCCCACACAGCUGAAUUUGGCUUUAA